rnacentral:rRNA from 1 species
UACGAAGGGUGCAAGCGUUACUCGGAAUUACUGGGCGUAAAGCGUGCGCAGGCGGUUCGCUGGGUCCUGUGUGAAAGCCCCGGGCUUAACCUGGGAAUGGCAUGGGAAACUGGCGAGCUUGAGUGCGGCAGAGGGGGGUGGAAUUCCGCGUGUAGCAGUGAAAUGCGUAGAGAUGCGGAGGAACACCGAUGGCGAAGGCAGCCCCCUGGGUCGACACUGACGCUCAGGCACGAAAGCGUGGGGAGCAAACAGG